rnacentral:lncRNA from 1 species
UUCGACAACCACAACCACUCUCCGACACCCUCCUUGCUUCUCUGAUGAUGACGGCUGAAGAUGAUGUUUCGCUAUGAACAUGAUCGAAGAUGAUGAUGUUGACGCUGGUUAUGGUUGACGACGACGGUGGUGCCUCGGAACUCCGGAAGCCGUGAUGUAUACGUCCGGUGACGGCGGAGAGUCAUCGGCGACAGUGGCGACAGGGAAGUGGUGGUAGCUGUCCUAACAGGCCAGUCCAUCUCAGAUACGUUCGGUUCAGUCAAGACCGGCUUAGAUUGAGGCGACACGGUUCAACUCGGUUUGGUUCGGUUCAGGUUCUCCUCG